GAUACCAAGGGCCUGACACUCUUUGAUAGAGAAAGAUAGUCUUAUUGCGAUUCCUAUAAGAGGAAAGAGAAAAUAGUGCAAUGCUUUGUCUUUAUCACCGACCGGGUUUUUUUUCAUGGUCGGGUUAUGGCAGCUUAGGAAGGAGGCUGAUGGCGAUAUACAAAAAUUUAUAAGAGUGAAAGAGACAAAAUCCCACAAGAUGCCAUACAUUAAACUGUCAAUCAUAUUGUCAAGAGUGCUAGUAAACAAAGUGGUUUUCUUAUUGUAGAGGUUUUAUAAAGUGAAUGAUUGUGUUUAUUAAGUAUUUAAUGGAGGUGUAAGAAGUUUUUACGUACAAUUAACAUGGUGGGGUGUUCAGUGGUUGCCUACAAAAGCAAUAGCUUGCGAAAAUAAGCGGGUGUAACAUUUUAUGCCUUUCCGACGGAGGAUGAAAUUGUUAAAGAAUGGAUUGCGGGAACUAGAAAAUCAAAUUGGAUGCCUCACAAAUACUCGCGUAUUUGUUCCAAACAUUUUGAACAACAUUGUGUCCGCAAACUGGGCAAACGAACUUUCAUCGAAAAGUUUUCUUUUCCAACCUUGUUCAUACACGAGAGGAGAGAGAAAAUUCUUUUCUUCAUCAUGUCAUGGAAAUCGUCCAUUCGUGCACGUCGUCGUCGUGGCAGUCUCAACAGCAUUCUGAAGCUAUUAUUGAACUUCAUAUAAUUGAUCCACAGGUUACAA